CUCUUAGAAGAUCCAUCUCAGGAUUUUAUGAAUCGACAUCGCAUCAUUCAAAUGAAGCUUGAUUUGAAUCAAACAUCAGUCUACUUUCUAUUAAAAGCCCUA